GGAUUCCCCUAGUAACUGCGAGUGAAGCGGGAAAAGCUCAAAUUUAAAAUCUGGUAGUCUUUGGCUGCCCGAGUUGUAAUCUGGAGAAGCGCUUUCCGCGCUGGACCGUGUACAAGUCUCCUGGAACGGAGCGUCAUAGAGGGUGAGAAUCCCGUCUUUGACACGGACUACCAGUGCUUUGUGAUGCGCUCUCAAAGAGUCGAGUUGUUUGGGAAUGCAGCUCAAAAUGGGUGGUAAACUCCAUCUAAAGCUAAAUAUUGGCGAGAGACCGAUAGCGAACAAGUACCGUGAGGGAAAGAUGAAAAGCACUUUGGAAAGAGAGUUAAACAGUACGUGAAAUUGCUGAAAGGGAAACGCUUGAAGUCAGUCGCGUUUGCUAGGACUCAGCCUUGCCUCGGCUUGGUGCAUUUCCUAGUAGACGGGCCAGCAUCACUUUUGGCUGCGGGAAAAAGGUCAGAGGAAUGUGGCACCUUCGGGUGUGUUAUAGCCUCUGGCUGUAUACCGUGGCUGGGAGUGAGGAAUUCAGCACGCCUUCAUGGCGGGGCUUCGGCCACCUUCGUGCUUAGGAUGCUGGCGUAAUGGCUUUAAACGACCCGUCUUGAAACACGGACCAAGGAGUCUAACAUGCCUGCGAGUGUUUGGGUGGAAAACCCGAGCGCGUAAUGAAAGUGAUAGUUGGGACCUCUGUCGUGGAGGGCACCGACGCCCGGACCAGACCUUCUGUGACGGAUCCGCGGUAGAGCAUGUAUGUUGGGACCCGAAAGAUGGUGAACUAUGCCUGAAUAGGGUGAAGCCAGAGGAAACUCUGGUGGAGGCUCGUAGCGAUUCUGACGUGCAAAUCGAUCGUCAAAUUUGGGUAUAGGGGCGAAAGACUAAUCGAACCAUCUAGUAGCUGGUUCCUGCCGAAGUUU
rnacentral:rRNA from 1 species